GAUGAACGCUGGCGGCGUGCCUAAUACAUGCAAGUCGAGCGAACGGACGAGAAGCUUGUUUCUCUGAUGUUAGCGGCGGACGGGUGAGUAACACGUGGAUAACCUACCUAUAAGACUGGGAUAACUUCGGGAAACCGGUGCUAAUACCGGAUGAUAUUUUGAACCGCAUGGUUCAAGAGUGAAAGAUGGUCUUGCUGUCACCUAUAGAUGGAUCCGCGCUGCAUUAGCUAGUUGGUAAGGUAACGGCUUACCAAGGCAACGAGGCAUAGCCGACCUGAGAGGGGGAUCGGCCACACGGGAACGGAGACACGGUCCAGACUCCUACGGGAGGCAGCAGUAGGGAAGCUUCCGCAAUGGGGGAAAGCCGGACGGAGCAACGCCGCGUGAGGGAUGAAGGUCUUCGGAUCGUAAAACUCUGUUAUUAGGGAAGAACAUAUGUGUAAGUAACAGUGCACAUCGUGACGGUACCUAAUCAGAAAGCCACGGCUAACUACGUG
rnacentral:rRNA from 1 species